CUUCAUUUUUUUGCGCCUGCGCAUAAAUCUGAGAAACGUGAGUUUUGUCUUCAUUGUUUAUCUCGACAUAGGAUAGGUUGUGUGAAAAUAUUACUGAUGUUUAACGUUAAAAAUGGACCAAAAGAUUAAUGCUAAACAACAUUUGACAUGUUUGAACAAACAUAAAUAGAUUAUUUACUAGGUUUUUUAGCUUUUCGGGCGUGAUUUUACAGUCCCCCACCACGUUUUGUGGGAGCAUAAUGAACACUAAGUACUUGGUGUUAUUUGGACAUAAAUUAUGAACUUUGUCAAAAGAAACCACAUUUGUUCCGGACCUGUGAUGCCUUCCGGACCUGGGAUGCCAGUCUUCUGAUGGAGAUAAUCAAAGAAACAACAAGUGUUGCUGAGAGCACUGCACAGACAUCUGGUGGGAAAACACACAGCAUUUCUACACAUAAGAGACGUCUGACAUAAUUGGAAUGGGGCGAGCCAAGAGACACUGCAGCUCACCAUGAACUGUCCAUUUCCAAUUGACUGUGCCGCGACUGCUGCUUCAAGUUUCAGCACGGAAAUGUCACUGUCCUUUCCGGCAGUAUAUGCCCAGCAAGCCAGCAAAGUAUGGCAUCAAGAUAUGGGUGGCCUGUGACGCACAAUCCAGCUUUGCUUGGAAGAUGCAAGUCUACACAGGGAAGCCGACCAGUGGAAGCCCGGAGAAGAACCAGGGGAUGCGGGUUUUGCUUGAUGUGACAGAUGGACUGAGGGGGCACAAUGUCACAUGUGACAAUUUCUUCACCUCUUAUGAACUCAGCCAGUAGCUCCUGAAGAGGAAGAUCACUGUGGUUGGUACAAUUAGAAAGAACAAGCCUGAGCUCCCCCCUGAACUCCUCACAAGGGGAGAGAGGCCUUCUCAUCAAAGUUAGCCUUCACCCCCACCACCAGUCUAGUUUCUUACCUCCCAAAUAGGAACAAGAAUGUGGUCCUCCUGAGCACACUGCACAAAACGGCUGAGAUCAGUGACCGUGAGGACAGGAAGCCAGGCAUCAUCCUGGACUACAACCACAACAAAGGAGGCGUGUACAACCUGGAUAAGGUGAUUGGAACUUACAGCUGCAGGAGGAUGACUGCCCGCUGGCCCCUGGUCAUCUUCCAUAACAUCAUUGAUGUGUCCUCAUACAAUGCCUUUGUGAUAUGGAACAAGAUCAACCCUACCUGGAUGCCUGAUAAGCGGAAACAAGAGGAGGGUGUUCCUGGAGCAGCUGGGAAAGGCACUUGUAACCCCACACAUUCAAAGAAGGGAGUGCCUCCCCUGCACAACAGCCUCUUCAGCGCUUGUGAAAGCUGUUCAGUGGGCUGAAUCUUUUCCUGAUCCACCUGAGGCUGCAGCUGGGGCCGACAAGAGGAGGAGAUGCCAAUUCUGUAAAACAAAUACUAUGUGCUCCACAUGUGAGAAAUACAUCUGCAAAGGCCAUUUAUACACACUUGCAUACUGUCCUACAUGUGCUAAUUAGAGUUGAUAGAUUUAUGUUCUUCACGCUUUUGUUUUGUAUCUAUCUUAUUUAUUGUUUAUACACCUUGAGGGUGGGGGCAAUGGUUCAAAAAAUGGGAGAAGACUAGUAUUUUGUUUGUACAGUAUAAGAAUAUUACUAUGUUGCCAAAAAAGUUCAAGACUGUUAUUGUUUCCCUUCAAUAAAAC
rnacentral:lncRNA from 1 species